UACGUAGGGUGCGAGCGUUAAUCGGAAUUACUGGGCGUAAAGCGUGCGCAGGCGGUUUUGUAAGCCAGAUGUGAAAUCCCCGGCUUAACCUGGGAAUGGCAUUUGGGACUGCAAGGCUCAGUGCGGGCAGAGGAGACUGGAAUUCCUGGUGUAGCAGUGAAAUGCGUAGAUAUCAGGAGGAAUACCGAUGGCGAAGGCAGGUCUCUGGGCUGACACUGACGCUGAGAAGCGAAAGCGUGGGGAGCAAACAGG
rnacentral:rRNA from 1 species